rnacentral:rRNA from 1 species
CUCGUAGGUGGUUAAUUAAGUCAGAUGUGAAAGCCCUGGGCUUAACCUAGGAUGUGCAUUUGAAACUGGUUAACUAGAGUACUGUAGAGGGAGGUAGAAUUCCAGGUGUAGCGGUGAAAUGCGUAGAUAUCUGGAGGAAUACCAGUGGCGAAGGCGGCCUCCUGGACAGAGACUGACGCUGAGGAGCGAAAGCGUGGGGAGCAAACA